CUCCGGUUGAUCCUGCCGGACCCGACUGCUAUCGGAUUGAGAUUUAGCCAUGCGAGUCGAACGUCCCCCUGUUGCGGGGGGCGUGGCGUACGGCUCAGUAACACGUAGUCAACCUGCCCUGGAGACAAGGACAACCCCGGGAAACUGGGAUUAAUCCUCGAUAUGUCAUUUCAUCUGGAAGGAGAGAUGGCUGAAAGGGGUGCGCGGGCUUCUUCCGUGUAUCUGCUCCAGGAUGGGACUGCGUCCGAUCAGGCUGUUGGCGGGGCAAUGGCCCACCAAACCAGUAACCGGUACGGGCCUUGAGAGAGGGGGCCCGGAGAUGGACACUGAGAAAAGGGUCCAGGUCCUACGGGGCGCAGCAGGCGCGAAACCUUCGCAAUGUGCGAAAGCAUGACGAGGUUAAUCCGAGUGGCUCCCGCUGAGGGGGUCUUUUGCCGGUUCUAAAAAGGCCGGAGAAUAAGGGGAGGGCAAGCCUGGUGUCAGCCGCCGCGGUAAUACCAGCUCCUCGAGUGGUCGGGGCGAUUAUUGGGCCUAAAGCAUCCGUAGCCUGUUCCGCAGGUCUUCAGUAAAAUCCAACCGCUUAACGGUUGGCUCGCGGGAGAUACCACGGGACUAGGAGGCGGGAGAGGCGGACGGUACUCCACGUGUAGGGGUAAAAUCCUUUGAUCCGUGGAAGACCACCAGUGGCGAAGGCGGUCCGCCAGAACGCGCUCGACGGUGAGGGAUGAAAGCUGGGGGAGCGAACCGGAUUAGAUACCCGGGUAGUCCCAGCCGUAAACGAUGCGAGCUAGAUGAUCCAGUCGCAAAUCGCGACUGGAGUGUCGCAGGGAAGCCGUUAAGCUCGCCGCCUGGGGAGUACGGUCGCAAGACUGAAACUUAAAGGAAUUGGCGGGGGAGCA
rnacentral:rRNA from 1 species